GGGAGGGGGUGACAGUAGAGGUAGGGGACAGUCACCACCUUCUGGGGUUAACUUACUCCAGCCUGACUGCCAAGCCGGUCACUUUCCUCCUGCCCUGGAUGUGGCACUGACACCAGUUCCUCACAAAGCCCAGUUUUGCUCAGUUCUCAGCUGCCAUCCAACCUGCCCAGGUCCCCCAGCAGGGAGAAUGUCAACUUAUAAAAAAUGCAAAACGUGAGAGUCGCGAGUUAAGUUUUAUUUGGGGCAAAAUGAGGACUGCAGCCCAGGAGACAGCAGCUCAGAUAGCUCUGAGAAACUGUUCCAAAGAGGCUGGGGGUGAAAGGUCAGUAUAUAUGCCAUUUCGGUGAAGCAGGAAUACCUGCAAUCAAGCACAUAUUUUUCCAGAAAAUUUCUGCUAGUCAUGAGCAGCCGUCGUCACCAUGAAGGAUUUUAGUACUUUUCUGGAUUAUGAGAAGAUACAAGAAUUGGGCUCUUGAAAUCGGCUCCUGAAAAUACCUAACUCCCAGCACAGAGUGCCUCAUUUCUGCUCUCUACCCUGAGCGCCUUUCAGGGAUUGACGGUCAGCAACUACAGCAGCAUGUGACUUAAUCCUUGUAUAGUGUGUAUAUUUGGAGAAGGAAAUGGCAACCCGCUCCAGUGUUCUUGCCUGGAGAAUCCCAGGGACGGGGAAGCCUGGUGGGAUGCUGUCUAUGGGGUCACACAGAGUUGGACACGACUGAAGCGACUUAGCGGUGGCAGCAGCAGCAGCAGUGGCAGAAGGCCUCAAAAACCAUCCAGCUGAUCGAAUCCUCACAUCUUACAGAUGGAGAAACUGAGGCUCAGAUACUUUCACCGGAUGGAAAGCUCCUCGGGGCAAGAACCGUGCUUACUUCACCUCUAUUUCUUCAGAGUCUGACACAGGGACUCACACAUACCAUGUGCUCAAUGAACGCCCACCGGGCUCAGAUCGCCUCCUCUUUGCACACACUCCCAGGGCCAGCAUCCUCCUCUAGGUUUCAGCUCAUCAUGAAGCUCCCCCUUUUAAAAAACCCAGAUUACUCUGCUUGGCUGGUGCCAGGUCCCUCCAGGCUUCAGGGGAAAUGGAGAAGCACCUCCCAGAACUGCAUCCAGCUGUCUGAACGGAUCUGUACAGAGCUCCCAGCCCUCCAGGCUCCAGCCUUCCCUGCCCCCUCUCCCCGACUCCACCUCAGAGAGUGAAGGUGAAUCAGAGACCCUAUCAAGGCUUUGUCAGCACUUCCCAGACCCCAUCCUUCUCUUUUUUUUCCACAUGGUCUUUUAAAAAUUGAAGAUUUUUGCUUAUUCAACAAUCCUGGGAAAAAAAAAAAAGGAAAAAAUAGAAAUUAAAAAAGAAUUCUGG
ensembl:lncRNA